rnacentral:rRNA from 1 species
UGAGGAAUAUUGGUCAAUGGGCGAGAGCCUGAACCAGCCAAGUAGCGUGCAGGAUGACGGCCCUAUGGGUUGUAAACUGCUUUUAUAUUGGAAUAAAGUGAGGGACGUGUCCCUUAUUGCAUGUACCAUACGAAUAAGGACCGGCUAAUUCCGUGCCAGCAGCCGCGGUAAUACGGAAGGUCCAGGCGUUAUCCGGAUUUAUUGGGUUUAAAGGGAGCGUAGGCUGUUUGUUAAGCGUGUUGUGAAAUGUAAGAGCUCAACUUUUAGAUUGCAGCGCGAACUGGCAGACUUGAGUGCGCACAACGUAGGCGGAAUUCAUGGUGUAGCGGUGAAAUGCUUAGAUAUCAUGACGAACUCCGAUUGCGAAGGCAGCUUACGGGAGCGCAACUGACGCUAAAGCUCGAAGGUGCGGGUAUCGAACAGG